CCGACGGCAGGGGGCGCUGGUGGCCGGGCUGUCUUGGAGCGGGAGGACGCAGGCUAUGGCUCCGGAGCACGCUGCCAACCCGGCUUCUCACAUGAGGGGAGUCCCGAAACCUGUGAAACAACCCGCCUAGCGGCUUCGGCCGUCGGGCGACGUGGGCGGAGGGACAGCUUUCCCAGCUGCGUCUCUUCCUGGUUGCAUCUCCGCUGCUCUUCGCUGCUGGGUCGGCGCCCUGGCGCUCAAGGCCCCUCCAGUGGGCAAGCCAUGGUUCUUCUAAGAGUCAUUUGAAGUACCGGAGAAAAGAUUUUCUCCAAGAACGGGCAGUUCAGAAGCUCCACAUGAGUAGUGUAGCAGGUGGGAAGGAAGAUAAAGGUAAAGUAAAGAUGACUGGAGAAACCAAUAAGGGAUUAGAUCCUGUAAUGGGAUGUGAGCUUGGGCUUUGUGGAAUAGAGCACCUGGGCCUGAAGGAAAAGAGAGGCACCUUUCCAAGAAGCUGGGAAGAUGGCACAUGUGUUGACCAACCAGUGUGAAGUUAACUGAGGACGAAAGGGGCCAUGUCCUCAAAUAUCACCUCAACCUAGUUCUGGAGGCUGAGAAGUUCAAGAUCAAGGUGCUGGCAGGGUGGAUUUUAUCCCUGUGAGGGAGCAAGAAUUCCUGUCCCCUUCAAGGAUCCUUCUAGCUGGACUAAGAAUCAAAUUGACACAAGACAGAGUAACAGGAGAAAAUUAACAGCAUAUGUAAAGGAAAUCUACAUAGACAUGGAAAUUCCAAAGACAGGCAGGCAAAAUGAGGUAUAUAUGGCAUUCUGAACUAAGGAGAAGGGGUAGGGGUCUGGGAUUUAAGGAAUACAAUUUACAGGGCAGUAAGAAGAAGAGCAGAUAGGGGUGCCUGGGUGGCUCAGUCGUUAAGCGUCUGCCUUUGGCUCAGGUCAUGAUCCCAGUGUCCUGGGAUCGAGUCCCGCAUCGGGCUCCCUGCUCCAUGGGAAGCCUGCUUCUCCGUCUCCCACUCCCCCUGCUUGUGUUCCCUCUCUCGCUGUGUCUCUCUCUAUAAAAUAAAUAAAUAAAAUCCUUAAAAAAAAAAAAGUAGAUGUUUGGUAAUUAGCUGUUUGGUCUGCUAUGCAGAUGGGUCGCUCAAAUAAAAUUUAUCUUUGCUAAUAACCCUUAUUCUAGGAAAGAACCAAUUUAGAUUCUUCUAUAUAGUUAAGGGAGGGGCAAAAUUUUCUCUUGGGCCCACAGGGUCUCGAUUGCCUUCAGCUCAAAAUAAUCCAUGUACCAAAAUAUCCCAUCUUGGGGCAGCCUGCCCUUGGCCUCCACAAUUCCAAACCCUCUGCCCUCAGCUUGCAGACAGCAGCCUUUUUGCUGUUUGCUCACAUGAUCUCUUUUUUGUGUGCUUGUUCAAAGAGAGGGGGCGCUCUCUGGUGUCUCUUCUAUAAAGGCAUUAAUCCCACCUUGGAAUUCCCAUCCUCAUGACUUCAUUUAAUCUUAAUUACUUCCACAAAGGCCCUGUCUCCAAAUAUAGUUAUAUUUGGGGAUAGGAGUUCAAUAUGUAUUGGAGGGGGAGAGACACAAACAUUCAGUUCAUAACACCUGUCUAAAACUAGUCCUUUUUGUUUUCCAAUAGUAUACCCUCCCCUAGCUAUGAUUUCCCAGUAUUUGCAAAAAGCCAUGGCCAUGUGUAGUUCUCCUUCUACAGGAGUUUACAGUGAGCUUUAAAAAAAUAAAAUGCUUUUGGCCAUCUCAGUAGCAAAAGACACUUACAUAGACACCAGUAUUCUUCUCUUAAAUAGUUCUGCAUAAAGAACUUUGUUGGAAAGACAGAAAACAGCAUUUAUUUAUUUACUUUUUAAGUAGGCUCCAUGCCCAAUGUGGGGCUCAAACUCAUGACCCUGAGAUUAAGAGUCAUAUGUUCUACUGACUGAGCCAGCCAGGUGCCCCCAGAAGGCAGCAUUCAAACUGCAGGUCCUACUAUCCCGUUUUUAAAAAUACUGUUUAUUAACAUUCUUAAAAGUACAGAAAUAUGCAAAGAAAAUAAUUUGGUCCCAAAUCCCACUUUCCAAUAAUCUAUAUUGGUUUUUUUUUAAGUAAUCUCUACACCCAACAUGAGGCUCAAAUUCAUGACCCCAAGAUCAAGAGUCACAUGCUGUACCAACAGCCAGCCAGGUACCCCCAAUGUUGGUAUUUUUAGAAAGUAAUAUAUGCAAGAGAUUAGAAAAAUUCAGAUAGUGCAGAAAGUAUAAAAUGAAAAGUGAAACCUCCAUCCCUCACUGUUCCAACCCUUUACCCCAAAAGUAACUUGUUAAUAUUCAUUCAUUCAUUGAUUUAAAGUACUUGUUGAGGGGCACCUGGGUGGCUCAGUCCAUUAAGCAUCUGACUCUUGAUUUUGGCUCAGGUCAUAAUCUCAGGGUCAUGAGAUAGAACCCCAAGUCGGGCUCUGCACUCAGCGGGGAGUCUGCUUAGAUUGUCUCUCCCUCUCUGCCCCUCCCCGCCUCGAAUAAAUAAAUCUUAAAAAAAAAAUAGUUGUUGAGUACCUGCUAUGUGCUGAGUACUGUUCUGGGUGCUGGGAUUACAGUAGUGAUCAAGAUGUGUCCAGUUUUCACUUCAUGGCACUUGCACUGUCCACUUGCACAUGGACAAGGCAGGUGAUAAACACAUGGGGCGCCUGGGUGGCUCAGUCGUUAAGCGUCUGCCUUGGGAUCAGGUCAUGGUCCCAGGGUCCUGGGAUCGAGCCCCGCAUCAGGCUCCCUGCUCGGUGGGAAGCCUGCUUCUCCCUCUCCCACUCCCCCUGCUUGUGUUCACUCUCUUGCUGUCUCUCUCUCUGUCAAACACAUAAAAUAUUAUCAGGUAGUGGUAAAUGCUAUGAAUAAAAAGCAGUGUGGGUGAGUACAGGGAUGGGAUAACUGGGUGAUGGGCAUUAAGAAGGGCACGUGAUGUGAUGAGCACUGGGUGUUAUAUGCAACUGAUGAAUCAUUGAACACUACAUCAGAAACUAAUGUUAGCUAAUUGGAUUUCAAUUAAAAGAAAAAAGAAAUGCAAAAAGCAGUGUGGAAGAAAGGAGAGGUUGCAAGCAGAGGACUAUUCUGAGCUAUGGCCUGCAGUGAGGGAGUAAGCCUCUGAAUAUCUGGGGGAAGAGCAUUCUAGAAAGAGCCUAAGUGUGAAAUCCAGGGGUGAGAGUUUUCUUCCUGGGCCAGCACUAUGUCCACCAUUCCUAUUGUCUUUGAAAUCUGUGCUGAGUGCAGCAGGCAUUUAUCAUCACAUUCGUCCAGUUCCCUCUUACAGUAAAAACAAAAUUAAUAAAGGGAAACCUAACUAAAAUGGAGCCGGGAGACCAGAAGGGGGAGCUCUCCAGCCCUACCACUCUGCAUCAAUUACUGGAAAAACUGUCACUUCAGACCCCAGCAGAAUUGUCAACAGGAAAGAAUCAUCAGUUAUAAGCACCAACGGGAGAAAUGUACAUUACAUCUCUUCAGCAACAAAGCCAAUGAGAAACCGUCAUCACCCUGUACUCUUGCUUUACUCCAAUGGACUUUCCUUCAAAACAACCCCUCCCAACUUCCUCUUCCUUCUCCAGAAAAUAACAUUCCUUUCCUUUCUUGGACUAGCCUAUGGUUUUUGCCAUAGCUUGCUUGUCCCACGUUGCAGUUCUCUGCUAUUCUUGAAUAAACUCAUUUUUGCUGCUAAAAUAACUGUUUUAUUUUUAAGGUCAUCAAAAAUGUAUUUGUUACACAUAGGUAUCUGUCAAAAUUGAAAUAAAGUGAAAUAGACUAGAGGCGAUAUCCAUUUCAAGAAAAAUGAGAGAAAGCAAAUUCGCUUGGGGAAGUGGUCUUUUCUUCGCUUGUUACGUUACCUGUCUGGCUCCUGUAAACGUUUGAGCUUGCCACCCCAAUAGAGAGCUGACUCCCUCAUUUGCCAAAGAGGAUCUGAGACUAUAACAGCACUCCAAUCAGGAGUUAAGGGUUAAACUGCUUCAAGUUUCUGUGCUCCCAGCUUGCUGACCUAAGCUCCCUUCUUGCUGACCUAAGUCUCUUUGUCUAUAGCAGAACUAACCUACUUUCCUUGAGAUUUGCAGGCCACUGGCCUUGAGGAGUGAAGGCCCAGACUUUUCCAGAAGGUGCUCUUUGACAAGAGACCAUCAGGGCUGGUGAUGCCAGUGUGCAGCCUUUCAGAUGUGCUGGAGGAUAAAAGGCCCUGCCCUGAGUCCCUGGAGUGCCUCCACGCACCGUGCAGACAGAAUAUCUUGGCCCCUCCACACCUGAGCAGACCUGGAAACGGAAAAGUGACAGCCCUACUACACCUGUGUGUUAUCACAAAAGCCAAGUGCCAGAAAAUCUUCAACAAGGAGACCUGCAGCUAUAAGACGGUGGAACAGAAUCACCCAGAAAGGACCUGUAUUGUCAGUUGAAUGGAUAAUGUAAUGUGCUUGUAGUGGGCCCAGGGCUCCCAGCCUGAGAGGGCCCAGGUUUUCCCAGGCCAGGCCUUGUUCCUUUUUGGCCUCUAACAAUCUAUGAUUGUCUAACCCUACCUACCGGUAAAAAAGCUUUUGAGCAAGACUUAAAUCUGUGUAUGCUUUUAGUUUAUAAAUUAUUAUGUAUUAGUUUAUAAAUUAUGUAUGUAUUAGAAAUCAUGCAGUGAAAGGAAACAAAAAAUAAAUAUGAAUAAAAGUUAUAAUGGCUUUAUAAUAUAUACUGGAUUAGAUCAUUGUAUGUCUCCUACUUAGGGGACCACUGCUGCUUCUGUCACUUAUGAUAUGUCUGAAGUCUGCUGCCCUGGUGUCCAGCUAUCCGGUGAACAAUCCAAAAAAUACAUGUGUCUUCGAGAUGAAAUCAGAUCCCUCAUUUUCUUUGAGGUCUCA